GUCCAGCCGAGCUUUCGGGCAAAGCGAAGACCUAGUGGCGAACGGGUGCGUAACACGUGAGGAACCUGCCCCAGACUUGGGAAUAACAGUCGGAAACGUCUGCUAAUACCGAAUACCUUCGUAGCGUCGCAUGGCGCAUCGAAGAAAGCUUUUGCGGUCUGGGAGGGCCUCGCGGCCUAUCAGCUAGUUGGCGAGGUAACGGCUCACCAAGGCAUCGACGGGUAGCUGGUCUGAGAGGAUGAUCAGCCACACUGGGACUGAGACACGGCCCAGACUCCUACGGGAGGCAGCAGUGGGGAAUAUUGCACAAUGGGCGAAAGCCUGAUGCAGCAACGCCGCGUGCGGGAAGAAGGCCUUAGGG
rnacentral:rRNA from 1 species